rnacentral:snoRNA from 1 species
ACGACCUUACUUGAACAGGAUCUGUUCUAUAGUAUUCGUACCUCUGUAUCUUUGAGUUCUAAAGAGACAGAAAACCAGGUCUGGUGGAUGAAUCAUGACCGUGUGUUCUGAGCGUGAUUAACGGCUGCUGUUGAUCUUCGGAUCACUGUGUGCUGUAGAUGAUCGUUCCCCAGUUCCUUUGUGAGCUUUGGGAUGUUCAUACGGUUGUCUGACAGACU